CCCUGGGUUUCGUAUCCGUUUUAUAUGAAAUUUUUUUAUAAUUAGUAUUUUCAUUGUUAUUAGAUGAUAAAAUAUGAUCAAUACUUUAUGCGUAACUUGUCUUUCUAAUUUUUUCAAAUAAGACGGACGGUCAAACGUUGGACACGGAAAUCCAGGGUU
rfam:Oryza sativa Japonica Group DNA, chromosome 11, cultivar: Nipponbare, complete sequence.